rnacentral:rRNA from 1 species
AUUGAACGCUGGCGGCAUGCUUUACACAUGCAAGUCGAACGGCAGCGCGGGCUUCGGCCUGGCGGCGAGUGGCGAACGGGUGAGUAAUGCAUCGGAACGUGCCCAGUAGUGGGGGAUAGCCCGGCGAAAGCCGGAUUAAUACCGCAUACGACCUGAGGGUGAAAGCGGGGGACCGAAAGGCCUCGCGCUAUUGGAGCGGCCGAUGUCGGAUUAGCUAGUUGGUGGGGUAAAGGCUUACCAAGGCGACGAUCCGUAGCUGGUCUGAGAGGACGACCAGCCACACUGGGACUGAGACACGGCCCAGACUCCUACGGGAGGCAGCAGUGGGGAAUUUUGGACAAUGGGGGCAACCCUGAUCCAGCCAUGCCGCGUGCGGGAAGAAGGCCUUAGGGUUGUAAACCGCUUUUGUUCGGGAAGAAAUCCUCUGGGCUAAUACCCCGGGGGAUGACGGUACCGGAAGAAUAAGCACCGGCUAACUACGUG